CCCAAACCCUGGCCUGAACUCAUGACCCUGAGAUCAAGAUCCCACCAUGCCUCAGAAGGGUGACCUAUAUGGAGUGCCUCCACAGGCUUCCUUUUCUUCUGCUUCCAGUCUCGUUGGGCAAUGGGGAACAGUAGCAGGCGCCUUGAGAUGAGAAAUCUACUUUGAGAAAACACUAACCUGGUUCAAUUUAAUAAAAAUACUCUCAGUACUCAGAAUAAUUAUGGAGACAUGAAGAAGAAUUCUUUCUCCCUGCAACUGCACAAAACUGUUAGAGUUCACUACACUGAAUAAACAGUCCGAUGCUGUAGCAGUGCUCACC